AUUGAACGCUGGCGGCAGGCCUAACACAUGCAAGUCGAGCGGAUGAAGGGAGCUUGCUCCUGGAUUCAGCGGCGGACGGGUGAGUAAUGCCUAGGAAUCUGCCUGGUAGUGUUGGAUAACGUCCGGAAACGGGCGCUAAUACCGCAUACGUCCUGAGGGAGAAAGUGGGGGAUCUUCGGACCUCACGCUAUCAGAUGAGCCUAGGUCGGAUUAGCUAGUUGGUGGGGUAAAGGCCUACCAAGGCGACGAUCCGUAACUGGUCUGAGAGGAUGAUCAGUCACACUGGAACUGAGACACGGUCCAGACUCCUACGGGAGGCAGCAGUGGGGAAUAUUGGACAAUGGGCGAAAGCCUGAUCCAGCCAUGCCGCGUGUGUGAAGAAGGUCUUCGGAUUGUAAAGCACUUUAAGUUGGGAGGAAGGGCAGUAAGUUAAUACCUUGCUGUUUUGACGUUACCAAAAGAAUAAGCACCGGCUAACUUCGUG
rnacentral:rRNA from 1 species